rnacentral:lncRNA from 1 species
AAAAAUCCUGACGGACCAGCAGCUGAUGGUGGUCGCGAAGCAGUUGGGGCGGCAGUGGAAGGAAAUCGCCAUCGAGUGCCUCGAGAUGGAGAUGAAGGACAUCGAGGAGAUCCAGGGCAUGGAGGACGAAGUCAACAUGCAAAAAUUCCUGGUGCUGAGGAAGUGGAGGGACAGACAACAAAGCAAUGGCACUGCAGAAGCUCUGCAGAGGAGUCUGGGUGACAAAGGAUCCUAUGAGCUGGAGCUAAUGCUGCAAGGUUUCUCAGCUCAGUGCUGAGCUGGAAGGACCUGCAGUGGGAGCUGCCCCAUCCAACCAUUCCACUCCUCUGGGAUCUCGCUGGGAUUCAGGAAGGAGGAUGCAAAGCAUCAGCACUCAGAGGAAAGGUUGGGCUGGAUCUUCUCAAGGAAUGUGAAUGAAAUUUUGGAUAUAAGCCACUUCCAAGACUUCCAGGAGCUGUGGAUCCCGAUAUCUCCGGGCUUCACCCGCAGGGAAUGCCACCACUGCCACCUCCUUUGAGCCUCUCCUAAAAGAUGGGAACACUGGAGGAAACCAGGUUGAAUUGUUCGCUCCAGGAUAGCUACCUGGAAAAGAUUUUCAUUUACAUCAGGGAAAAACAGGGAGAAAAGUUACACAGGAACUGUCAUCCCCUCAAAAACCCCUACUGAAGUGCCCGAAGCGGGAGGUACAUUGGAUUUCUCAUGGAUGUCCAAAAUCAGGGAAGGAUAAUCCUAAACUUGCAGACAAAUUCCUUUGCAUAAUCACUGUGUAUAUAUAAUUCCUGUAUAUACUCCUGUACAUUCAGUCCUUGUUAAGCUGUGGUUCUCUUCUCUAAAAACCCCAAAGACUGAUUUCACAGAAGCACCACUAUGUACUCCAGGCAGCUUGGAAUUUUCCCUGGGAAUUUCUUUGCUACUCUUCUCUGUAUAGUCUGUAUUUUUAUGAGACAGGUUUGUUUUUUUUUUACGUUGUAUAAUUUGUUUUUUAUAUGAGAAACUUUUUCUACUUUUUACUUGAUUUGUUUUAACUCGAAUUAGGUGCUUAAACUACCAUGGGAGGAACCAGAAUCCCUGGAAAGGCCCCCCACGUGCUACAGAAUUGGAAAAGAUUUGGGAAUAACGUGAUUUGCAGAAUGAGAGCGGUGACCUGAUCCGGGAUUGUCUGAUUUUUAAGGACAUGGGAUGCUUGGGAUCACCUUCCUCUGAGUGUGUUCAUGAAAGAAAAAAGCAAACUUAAAAAAAAAUAAGGAUUAAAGGGGAACCAUUGACACUAUUUACAUAUGAUUUUGGAUUUAUUUUUUGAUUUUGGCUGCUGGAUGAAGCGUUGUGAGGUUGUUGCCAUCUCUCCAAGCCUUGAUGCUUCUGCUGCUGCAGCAUCUCAUUCCACACCUUCCACUAGCCCAGGUUGCUCCAAGCCCCAUUCAACCCAAUCCAAGAUGGAAACAGGAUUUUAAAAUAUCCCAGUUACCUUUACAUGCCAGCAGUAUUCCAAGUAUUUUAAAAGUAUUCUUGUUGUAUCUCCAGGAACAACAAAGAAGUCACUACGAUUUUUAAGCCAACUUUAAUUUUAUUAGGCAAUAAAUAGAAUAAAUAAGGAAUAUAAUAUAUCA